rnacentral:sRNA from 1 species
UAUAAUUCAACCAUAAUAUAUAUAUAAGUCGGCCAUACAAUAAUCAGUAAG